ACAAAUAUAUAACCAUGUUUAAUUAUACACGAAUAUCAUAACGUAAAGGUGAGUUGCCAGUGAGGAGGAAAUUGAUUAUGUGACAAGUUCACCUAUUCAUUACCAACAACUUGUUGCAAAUGGCGGUCUGCUCAAUGUCGAUAAGCCAAUGUGUGCAACAAACUUUUUGGUAGUUUUUUUUGUUUGUUUCAUUGUUUUACCGACCUCUAUACCG
rnacentral:lncRNA from 1 species